AGGGAUCAUUACUGAGUGAGGGCCUUCGGGCUCGACCUCCAACCCUUUGUGAACACAACUUGUUGCUUCGGGGGCGACCCUGCCGUUUCGACGGCGAGCGCCCCCGGAGACCAUCAAACACUGCAUCUUUGCGUCGGAGUUUAAGUAAAUUAAACAAAACUUUCAACAACGGAUCUCUUGGUUCUGGCAUCGAUGAAGAACGCAGCGAAAUGCGAUAAGUAAUGUGAAUUGCAGAAUUCAGUGAAUCAUCGAAUCUUUGAACGCACAUUGCGCCCUUUGGUAUUCCGAAGGGCAUGCCUGUUCGAGCGUCAUUUCACCACUCAAGCCUGGCUUGGUAUUGGGCGCCGCGGUCAAUCCGCGCGCCUCAAAGUCUCCGGCUGAGCUGUCCGUCUCUAAGCGUUGUGAUUUCAUUAAUCGCUUCGGAGUGCGGGCGGCCGCGGCCGUUAAAUCUUUCACAAGGUUGACCUCGGAUCAGGUAGGGAUACCCGCUGAACUUAA
rnacentral:rRNA from 7 species